CCUACGGGAGGCUGCAGUGAGGAAUAUUGGUCAAUGGACGAGAGUCUGAACCAGCCAAGUAGCGUGAAGGAUGACUGCCCUAUGGGUUGUAAACUUCUUUUAUAUGGGAAUAAAAUGUUCCACGUGUGGGAUUUUGUAUGUACCAUAUGAAUAAGGAUCGGCUAACUCCGUGCCAGCAGCCGCGGUAAUACGGAGGAUCCGAGCGUUAUCCGGAUUUAUUGGGUUUAAAGGGAGCGUAGGUGGAUUGUUAAGUCAGUUGUGAAAGUUUGCGGCUCAACCGUAAAAUUGCAGUUGAAACUGGCAGUCUUGAGUACAGUAGAGGUGGGCGGAAUUCGUGGUGUAGCGGUGAAAUGCUUAGAUAGCACGAAGAACUCCGAUUGCGAAGGCAGUUCACUGGACUGCAACUGACACUGAGGCUCGAAAGUGUGGGUAUCAAACAGGAUUAGAUACCCGUGUAGGC
rnacentral:rRNA from 1 species